rnacentral:misc_RNA from 1 species
CCAUCUAAGUCCCUCUCUCUGCUCUCAACUCUUUCGGUGUUUAUAUUUGUAACUUAGCUUUGGAAAUCGACAUGGCUAACAAUGGAGGACGCGAAGAAGGUGAAAUAAGGACAAAGUUGGAAUUGUAUAAAGCUGCGAUAAGUGGUGAUUGGGAGAAGGCUAUGGGCAUCAAACCAAUAACAGCAGUGAUCAAUAAGCGUGGAGAGACAGCUCUCCAUGUUGCAACUGCAGCAAACCACACCCAUUUUGUGGAAAAGCUUGUUGAUAUGAUUGCUGAAGAAAAUGCAGAGUAUUUAGCUAUUACAACUAAACCCCCGAUUGCACCUCAAGCUUCAUGUGAUAAACCCCCG